GGUCGCGUAGCUCAGUUGGUUAGAGCGUUGUGCUAAUAACGCAACGGUCGUGGGUUCGAUCCCCACCGUGACCA